rnacentral:rRNA from 1 species
UAGAGGUUUGUAGUCCUGGCGUCAGGAUGAACGCUGGCGGCGUUGCUUAACACAUGCAAGUCGAACGGACAGGUAAUGAAACCUAGUGAUUUUAUCUGUUAGUGGCGGACGGGUGAGUAACGACGUGGGUAACCGUGCCGUAUACAGGGGGAUAACACUUAGAAAUAGGUGCUAAGACCGCAUAAGCGCACAGGAUCGCAUGGUCCGGUGUGAAAAACUCCGGUGGUAUACGAUGGACCCGCGUCUGAUUAGCUUGUUGGCGGGGUAGAGGCCCACCAAGGCGACGAUCAGUAGCCGGCCUGAGAGGGUGAACGGCCACAUUGGGACUGAGACACGGCCCAAACUCCUACGGGAGGCAGCAGUGGGGGAAUAUUGCACAAUGGGGGAAACCCUGAUGCAGCGACGCCGCGUGAGUGAAGAAGUAUUUCGGUAUGUAAAGCUCUAUCAGCAGGAAAGAAAAUGACGGUACCUGACUAAGAAGCCCCCGGCUAACUACGUG